AAGAUUGAGAUUUUGGUGGAUAAAACUGAGAACCUUCGCUCUCAGGCACAAGAUUUCAGGCAGCAGGGAACCCAGUUGAGAAGAAAGAUGUGGUAUCAAAACAUGAAGAUAAAGCUCAUAGUUCUUGCUAUCAUAAUUGCAUUGAUUCUCAUUAUUGUUCUUUCUGUGUGCCAUGGCUUCAGUUGUUAACUAUUCU